rnacentral:lncRNA from 1 species
AUGAAGGUCGCAGUGUUGGACCUUGGGUCUCUCUUUGCCAAAAUCUUCAAGACCUCGACGGCGCCCCCUGCGGCCCCCUCGCCGGUUGCCUCCUCCAGCCCCUCGCGAGGCGCUGCUGACGUGGGGGCUGCGCGUUCCCGCCCGGGCACCUCGCUCAGCGCGGCCCGGACUUUGACCGUCCUCCCGGCCCUGGCCCCCGACUCCCCGUCCAGCUCUCGGGGGCCCUCGGUCCUGCUGCAGCCGACGCUCGUCGCGCUCCAUCCCCUGCUCGCCGCCCCCCACGCCCGAGUCUCCGUUGCCGGCCGCCCGGCAGAGGCUGUGGAGACUCCCGCUUCGCUGCCCAGUAGCCCCGGAGCAGCCAAAGUCGGGUCCUCACCCCUGCCCCUUUCCUUGGCUCUGCCGCCCGCUCCCUCCAGCGGCGGCCGCAGCUCGGCGGGCUCCCCCGCCCACCUGGUGGUCGUGGCGCGGCCGCCGCCGGGCCCCGGCGCGGUCUGGGCGGCGUAUCCGUCCAUCGGGGGCUCGGCGGGCAGCAGCAUCAGCAGCACUGUGACCUCGAGCCCGCGGAACCCUCGCCCCCCCUGCCCUGGGGAGAGAGAGCCCAGCGCUCGGGUGCCCCCCGGGCCUGGCCCCAAGACCCUGUUCUUCACUUUGCCCGACAUCGGCGAGGAGUGGGCCUCGGACAGCGACUCAGAGGACGGCCGGCGAGGAAGAGGACUGUCAGAAGGAUCUGGAAAGCAGAGUUUUGCUGUGAAAAGCAAAGAUCCUUUACCUACCCAUUUUACAAAAAAUGUACAGAAAGCCAUUGCUAAAUACAGCCGGGAAUCUGCGUCAUCAUUUUCAUCAAGUGGGAGCCCCACGCCUACAGAAGCCCCCAACUCCUGGUCUGGGUCUGGGACACAGAGUUCAACAACUGGUUUAUCUACGGAGAGGAGCUCCAUUUACUCCUGGAGAGAUGAUGAGUUUGACAAAGCCAGUGCACAGAAGGUGCAGCAGUUAUUCUGGGAGGUCGAGGAAAUGUUGUUCGAAGGGAAAGGAAGCCCUCAGACCCAGAAUCUCCAGGCUGAGUGCCGUGAAUGGGCAAGCCGGUCCCUGCAUCUGAGAGUAUUAGGAAGACAGCUCAUCCCGCCCGCUGAUGAAGGAGUUGAGCAUUUCCAGAGCAGCCGGCCUGCUUCUGCCAUCCACGGACCCUUCCUUGAUGACUGUGGACACAGCAGCAACAUCAGAGAGCUGUGCAUCUCUGGGUCUCAGAUAGUCCCGGCCGUGCUCUCAGCCCCCUCCCUGCCGGGUCCUGAUGGUACCAGGGUUGUGGACCUCAUGGCACAUUCAUCUCUGGAAGAAGAGGUUUUUGAUGUGGAUGGAAAGAUUGAAGAGUAUUUUGCUUUUGACCGAAAACAAGAUGGCGAGGACUGUCUUGAACAAAAGCCAGCUCGUCAUCGCAGGACGUGGCGUAGGCACGGACUUCCUCCUGUAUCGCCGCACGACUGUAUCAGAGACACGGUGGCUGCGGAAGUGUUUGAUCACGUCUGGACGAAUGUGGUGGAGGUGCUGGAAAAGCUGACCAGAAAAAACUGGGAACUUAGAGAAGGAAGAAAACAGAAAGAAAAAUUGAAAGUAGCUGAGAAUAAAUCUCCACCCACAGUUAUUUCCCGCAUUAAUGCUGAUGUAUCCAGUGUUCCGCCAUCCAGAAGCUCUGAAACUCGAAGUGUAUCCCUGGCUUCUCAUCUUAACCCACCGCAGAUACAUCGCUUCUCCAACAAUUUUUAUAGUGACUUGAAUGGUGUGAUGACAAUUCAAGCAAAACCACUUCAGCAGAGACCUACCUGUUUUGCAGAUAGAACACAGAGUGAGCAGGAGGACAGACCACUGGGUGUAGGAUACGCUGUUCUCUCCUCAGCCCCAAACCGUCUGGCCCGGAUCACAGAUGCUCGUGGACCACAGACCUCCGCAAAGAAAACCCUUGCACACAGGAGGCUGCCUUCUCUUACCUCGGACUCCCAGAGACUAAAAAUCCCCAGCGUGUACAGUGAUGAAGUUCUUAGGGGGACAAGACUGCAAACUGGCGUGGAGCGUAUGGGCUCCCCACCGACUCAAACCCCACGGAGCCGGCUGCCCCCAAUAGGCUCCGAGACUGGAGAGCACCACACGGCAGGUCCCGGAUCGCGCCCUGUUUCCCUCAGAGGAAGACAUCUACAAAACCAUGGGUUGAGUGCAUUACCUGAUAGUGUAGAACGGUCACCUCUUCGAGAAAGAUCUCUAACCGUGGAACAGUUUUCAAGGCCCAGCACUACCCAUACAUUUCGGUCAGAUACACCUCGAAAAGGUUCAUUGACACUGAUGGAAUUUGCUGGGCACGCGUGGACAGGUCAGAAUUUUUUAACAGGCUCACAGUAUCCACCUAAAUCUUUCCAGAGGACAACACUGACUUUAAGAAAGAGAUUCCAAGUGGCCUCCUGAUGUGACAUCAGCAGAACUACAACCCUUCUGGAGCAUUCAAAGCCUCAGCACACCAUUCAUCACUUGAAAAGUGGAAGAAGUAUUAUGUUAUGUAUCUGACAGUCUGAGAUGUUAGACUGCCUGAGAGAAAUGCAAACAAAUAAACAAUUUAAUUUUGAACACUUUGCAUUGUUAACAGACUAUGAGUCAAAAUUACCAACCUCCUCCUCUAUUGGAAGCAUUCCAAUACAGAUUCUUUUUUACUUAG